GAUGAACGCUGACAGCAUGCUUAACACAUGCAAGUCAACUGUGGCGGACGGGUGAGUAACGCGUAAAGAACUUGCCUCACAGAUAGGGACAACAUUUGGAAACGAAUGCUAAUACCUGAUACUGUGAGAGAGCUUUGCGUCCCAUUAGCUAGUUGGAGAGGUAACGGCUCCCCAAGGCGAUGAUGGUUAGCCGGCCUGAGAGGGUGAUCGGCCACAAGGGGAUUGGGAAACGGCCCGUACUCCUACGGGAGGCAGCGGGGGAGAAAUGAGGAAAAUGGGCCGAAGUAUGAUCCAGGAAUUCUGUGUGUACGAUAAAUUUUUCGGAAUGUAAAGUGCUUUCAGUUGGGAAGCAGUACCAACAGAAGAAGUGACGGCUAAAUCCGUGCCAGCCGCCGCGGUAAUUC
rnacentral:rRNA from 1 species